UUUCUGAGAAGGAGUUCAGACCACAGCCUGGUUCCGUCAGUGAUUCCGGCAGGAUGGAACGUUCACGCGUUUAAUGACUGAGCCAUAAAACAACUGUGAGGUCCUCCAUUUCUUGGAACGUCAGCCUGUGGAAUUGCUACCACACCACUGCUCCUGGACCCCCUCCUACGAUGAGGCUCUGUGCCAUUUUGCAAACACUCAGAAGGAUGAAGCCUCAGAGCAGCUAAGAAAAUAUCUGUAGCACUCAGCAUUUUCACAAGAUGACAUCGUCACAUCCUGAGCACUCAUCUGGGUGAAUCAGAGGCAAGAGAAGACACAAAAGGAAAUUGGAGCUUGAUCUGGGUUAAGCUGAGGGGGACUUCUUCCCAUCUUUAACCUCGCUGAUGAAGACAAAAUCACCAGCAGGAUCUCCCAGUGUUGCAGUGUUGCAAGAACUACAGGAGAGGUUUUUUGCGGUACGCGGGCCGCUCACUGUUGUGGCCUCUCCUGUUGCAGAGCACAGGCUCCAGACGCGCAGGCUCAGCGGCCAUGGCUCACGGGCCCAGCUGCUCCGCGGCAUGUGGGAUCUUCCCGGACCGGGGCACGAACCCGCGUCCCCUGCAUUGGCAGGCGGACUCUCAACCACUGCGCCACCAGGGAAACCCCAGAAACUUGGUUUUUUAAAAAAUUAAAGUGUAAAUACAUAUAGUAAACUAUGUGUAUCUUAAGCGUACAGUUCAUUAAGCUUUAAUAACUGUUUACACCCAAAUCAACACAUAGAACAACUGCAUUACUCUAAAAGUUCUCUCAUUUUCUUUUCUGGUCUGUUCCCUCUGUUUGCCAGAGGCAAACACUAUUCUGUUUUUCAUUCCAUGGAUUAGUUUUGCCAUUUCUUGAAGUUUAUAGAAACGGAAUUGUACAGCAAGUCUUCUUUUGUGUCUGACUUCUUUCACUGAGCAUAAUACUUUUAUUUUGAUCAUGUAUCAGUAGUUCAUUGUUUUUAUUGAUGAGUAGUAUUCCAUUAUAUAAAUAUACCACAAUUUGAUUAUUCAUACUCCUGUUGAUGGGCAUUUAGUUAGUUUUUUCUGUCAUGAAAAAAGCUACGGUGAACAUUGGUGUACCCAUCUUUUUAUGGACAUAUGACAUGUUUAAUUUUAAAUUUAAGCUAUAAUGAAGUCAGAACAUUGAUACCUAAACUUUAAUUAAGUGGCCACUUGGAGUAAAAUCAGAGUAUAAAGAAGAUGGACUAGGAGAUGGAUACAUUUAGUAAGAUCUAUAACCAGGGGGGGAACCAGAACACACCAGGGGCUCCACACUGCACUGUUCUCAUUUUAGCUCUGAGCACUUCAGCCCAGCUGCGCUGUGAGCUGUCAUGGGAAUAAGUAGACAUCAGUUAGAGUUAUACGUGAAAAGACAUACUUAGAGACAGACAUACAUGGGUUAAGUUCUGGCUCAGUAACUUAAGACACAUUAAUUGACCACUCUGAGCCUUAGUCUUUCUCGUCUGUAAGACAAAAUAAUUCCCAAUGUGAUAGGUAUAAAUAUUAAAUGGGAUGUAAGAGUUAAGGUCAUAGCACAUUUAAUUUGUAUAAAAUAUAAUUAGAGAUAGCAUAAUUUGUGUAUCAUAAUGAGACAAAAUAUAUUGAGGUUAUAAUUUGAGUCCUAGCUCAUACGCUAUAGAUAGUGGGAUGAUUUAAAUUAAAAAAAAAUUGUUGGAUGUUAACUAGACUUACUGUAGUGAUCAUUUCACAAUAUAUAUAAAUAUCAAAUCAUUAUGUUGUAUAUCUGAAACGAAUCUAAUGUUGUAUGUCAGUUAUACCUCAGUAAAAAAAUAAUUUUUGUUUUGUUUGAAGUAGGUGAUUCUGUGGUUAAGCUUACAUAAGGCAAACUGUUGCAAUAAAUGACACACACUCUGAUGGAUAAAACCCCUAACAUUAGUGACUUAAUAAAUAAAAUCCCAUUUCAGGAUCCUUUCCUUAAAUUUUGCCAAAUGUUCAACGUUGUUGUUCUCUAUCAUCGAAAUUGACUGCAAAGGGACAUCAUUAAUGAAAUGAGAUUUUACAUAUUCCAUCUUUGAAAAUGUCUUUUCACACAGUUAGAUCCAGCUAAAUACUGAUAUCAGUCCAUAAGCAUGCGAUUUUAGUUGAGCAUAUUCAUUACUUGGAAGGCAUUGAUAGAAUUCUAUUAGAUUUGCCUCUUGAUAUUUGCCUUUUAUCCUGUCAUUACACUGCAAAUUAAUUACCCUCAAUUGAAGGUAAAUGGAAGCUCCUCGAUUUCAUUAGUUAAAUAAAUUUUAUAUUUUUAUUAAAUACAUUUUGAAAUUUGAAAAAUGUCCUUCACACUUCCAUGGAGGUCUGAAAGAUGCUGCUGGAACUACAGUUCGAGCUUGGAAAAUAUAUCUGCUGCAAAUUUUUGUGAGAAUAGAGAUCUCACUACUUGUUUGAACAUUUGACAGCCUGGGAAAUGUAUAAAGCAUUGCAGGUGUAAGCAAGAAUUAUUGGUCCCCAUUGUAGUGAUCAUUUCAUAAUGUAUGCAAAUGUCAAAUCAUAGUGUAAUACACCUGAAACUAACAUAACAUCAUACAUCAACUGUAUCUCAAUUAAAAAAAUAAUUAUUGGUCCCUAAUAACUUAUAUUUUCGUUUACUUAGGUGGCCAAAU